rnacentral:rRNA from 1 species
UACGGAGGGGGCUAGCGUUGUUCGGAAUUACUGGGCGUAAAGCGCACGUAGGCGGAUAUUUAAGUCAGGGGUGAAAUCCCAGAGCUCAACUCUGGAACUGCCUUUGAUACUGGGUAUCUUGAGUAUGGAAGAGGUAAGUGGAAUUGCGAGUGUAGAGGUGAAAUUCGUAGAUAUUCGCAGGAACACCAGUGGCGAAGGCGGCUUACUGGUCCAUAACUGACGCUGAGGUGCGAAAGCGUGGGGAGCAAACAGGG